rnacentral:rRNA from 1 species
CCGCGCCUGAAGCUAUGGCCGUGGCGCCGUUUCCGCCGCCGCCUCUCCUCGCCUCGCACGCCGCCGUCCGAGCCGCAGCCUCACGCGUCGCCGCAUCCCGGACUAUCCGCGUCGCCGGCGAAGACUCCCACCAGCACCCGCCGCAGGUCGCGGCCCUCCGGCGCGGCGACUGGGUAAAGCUCAUCUGUGGCGCCAGCUUCGAGGAUGCUGCCGAUGUCCGGAAUCUCUCCCUUGUCUACACGCUGGCUGGAGUGGAUUGCAUUGAUUGUGCAGCAGAUAAAUCCGUAGUCAGUGCGGUGAAUGAAGGUAUUGAUGUAGCAGCCUCAAUUGUACCAGAAGUUCAAAGGCCUUGGGUGAUGGUUAGCGUUAAUGAUGAUUGCAGAGAUCUUCAUUUCCGCAAAGCUGAAUUUGAUCCUGAAGAUUGCCCACCGAAUUGCUCAAAGCCAUGUGAGAAAGUUUGUCCUGCUGAUGCAAUAUCACUAAAGAGGGUCAUGGUUGGAGGAGAACAUGCUCAGUCCGAUCCAAUAUGUGAUAAACUCGAGGAUGGUGUCAUUAUGGAACGAUGCUAUGGCUGCGGUAGAUGCUUAUCAGUUUGCCCUUAUGACAGAAUAAGUGCUAUGUCCUAUGUACGAGAUCCUGCCACGACAGCUGAACUGUUGAAAAGGAGUGAUGUUGAUGCAAUAGAAAUACAUACCACUGGAAAGGGAAUCGGUAUGUUUAGUACGCUCUGGAACAGCUUGGGUGAGUCAAUCAAUAAUGUGAAGUUGGUCGCAGUAAGCCUGCCUAAUGCUGGUGCAUCAACAAUUGAUUUCAUGAAUGCAACGUACAUGAUAAUGAAGUCUAAUCUGGAAGGGUAUAAUCUUUGGCAGUUAGAUGGUCGUCCUAUGAGUGGUGACAUCGGUUGAGGUGCAACAAGGGAAACUGUUUCUUUUGCUGUUGAUCUGACUUCAGUACAAGAUAGGCCUCUUGGCUUUUAUCAGCUGGCUGGCGGCACCAACUUAUACACUGUAGAUUGCUUAAAGAAAGCUGGUCUUUUCAAGGCUAGGACUUUACCUGGGACAAGAACUACUGAAAAGGUUGGUUCCCAGGAAGCUCUAAUAGGAGGAAUAGCUUAUGGUGGCUAUGCUCGCAAGAUUGUUGGAAGAGUUCUGCGCAAAAUACCAUCAGAACUUGGGCGCGUACGCAUCGAGGAUCAUCCAGGAUAUCUCCUAGAGGCAUUGCAGGAAGCCUUGUCCUUAGUAGGCCUUGUGAAGGGUUAUUCAGCUCUGGAAACAUGAGUAAAAAUGCCAUCGCUGAGCUCUUUCCCGAUUAACAGGGUGCUGCUGCGUGAUUCGAAUAGAGCUUUCAUAGCUGCAUCCUGUUCUUUCAAGGAGUAUGCCACCGAUGUAGCGUCUAUGGAAGCAGCCGCGGUUCUCGAGGGGCUGUGUCUUGGGGAAGAGCUAGGUAUCUCGACCCUGUCUGUAGAAUAUGAUUCACAAAUUGUCCAAGCAUUCUGGAUCCAUCAAAUUACGGUGCUUCAGAUUAUGACUCUUCGGCAGGGCAACCAUAGAGCAUUGUGACCGGGAAAGCAAUGGCGCAAGCGAACGCACUAGCUUGAGCAAGUUACACAAGGAAAUCCUCGGAUGUGUGGCGAGAGAAACCUCCUGAUUUUCUUAUCCCUUCACUUGUAAUAGAUAUGAUCAUCGUUUAGUAAAGGUUGCCAAAGUUCAAAAAAAAAAAAAUCAGUCAUUCUAUACCUGGUCAUCAACACCCUGUGUAGGAUUAUAGGGCAUAAUUG